GACGAACGCUGGCGACGUGCUUAACACAUGCAAGUCGAACGGAAAGGCCCCUUUGGGGGUACUCGAGUGGCGCACGGGUGAGUAACACGUGAGUAACCUGCCCUUGACUUCGGGAUAACUUCAGGAAACUGGGGCUAAUACCGGAUAGGAAUCCUUGCUGCAUGGUGGGGGUUGGAAAGCUUCGGCGGUUUUGGAUGGACUCGCGGCUUAUCAGCUUGUUGGUGGGGUAGUGGCUUACCAAGGCUUUGACGGGUAGCCGGCCUGAGAGGGCGACCGGCCACAUUGGGACUGAGAUACGGCCCAGACUCCUACGGGAGGCAGCAGUGGGGAAUAUUGCACAAUGGGCGGAAGCCUGAUGCAGCAACGCCGCGUGCGGGAUGACGGCCUUCGGGUUGUAAACCGCUUUCAGCAGGGGCGAAGCUUGUGGUGACGGUACCUGCAGAAGAAGCACCGGCUAACUACGUG
rnacentral:rRNA from 1 species